rnacentral:rRNA from 1 species
UACGUAGGGCGCAAGCGUUGUCCGGAGUUAUUGGGCGUAAAGAGCUCGUAGGCGGCUUGUCGCGUCGUCCGUGAAAACCUGCAGCUCAACUGCAGGCUUGCGGUCGAUACGGGCAGGCUAGAGUUCGGUAGGGGAGACUGGAAUUCCUGGUGUAGCGGUGAAAUGCGCAGAUAUCAGGAGGAACACCGGUGGCGAAGGCGGGUCUCUGGGCCGAUACUGACGCUGAGGAGCGAAAGCGUGGGGAGCGAACAGG